rnacentral:rRNA from 1 species
AUUGAACGCUGGCGGCAUGCCUUACGCAUGCAAGUCGAACGGCAGCACGGGUGCUUGCACCUGGUGGCGAGUGGCGAACGGGUGAGUAAUACAUCGGAACGUACCUUAUCGUGGGGGAUAACGCAGCGAAAGCUGUGCUAAUACCGCAUACGCCCUGAGGGGGAAAGCGGGGGAUCGCAAGACCUCGCGCGAUUAGAGCGGCCGAUGCCUGAUUAGCUUGUUGGUGGGGUAAAAGCCCACCAAGGCGACAAUCAGUAGCGGGUCUGGUAGGACGAUGAGCAACACUGGGACCGAGACCCGGCCCAGACUCCUACGGGAGGCAGCAGUGGGAAAUGUUGGACAAUGGGGGCAACCCCGACCCAGCAAUGCCGCGUGAGUGAAGAAGGCCUUCGGGUUGUAAAGCUCUUUUGUCAGGGAAGAAACACCGGCUCUAACACAGUCCGGGAAUGACGGUACCUGAAGAAUAAGCACCGGCUAACUACGUGCCAGCCGCCGCCGUAA